UAGGGAUCUGCCCUGAAGAGUGGGAUAACCCGGGGAAACUCGGGCUAAUACCGCAUAAUACCUGAGGGUGAAAGGUUGCAGCAAUGCAGUCGCUUUAGGAUGAACCUGCGUCCGAUUAGCUAGUUGGUAGGGUAAAGGCCUACCAAGGCGACGAUCGGUAGCUGUUCUGAGAGGAAGACCAGCCACACUGGGACUGAGACACGGCCCAGACCUCCGUACGGGAGGCAG
rnacentral:rRNA from 1 species